rnacentral:rRNA from 1 species
GACGAACGCUGGCGGCGUGCCUAAUACAUGCAAGUAGAACGCUGAAGGAGGAGCUUGCUUCUCUGGAUGAGUUGCGAACGGGUGAGUAACGCGUAGGUAACCUGCCUGGUAGCGGGGGAUAACUAUUGGAAACGAUAGCUAAUACCGCAUAAGAGUAGAUGUUGCAUGACAUUUGCUUAAAAGUUGCAAUUGCAUCACUACCAGAUGGACCUGCGUUGUAUUAGCUAGUUGGUGGGGUAACGGCUCACCAAGGCGACGAUACAUAGCCGACCUGAGAGGGUGAUCGGCCACACUGGGACUGAGACACGGCCCAGACUCCUACGGGAGGCAGCAGUAGGGAAUCGUCGGCAAUGGACGGAAGUCUGACCGAGCAACGCCGCGUGAGUGAAGAAGGUUGUCGGAUCGUAAAGCUCUGUUGUAAGAGAAGAACGAGUGUGAGAGUGGAAAGUUCACACUGUGACGGUAUCUGACCAGAAAGGGACGGCUAACUACGUG